CUGGCCUGCAGGGAGGUUGUAAGGCUUGCCCCGAGGGACACAGAGGGCUGCUAACCUCGGUGGGAUGUUCAUUGUUUGAAAUCCGUGUCCCUAGAGCCACUCCAGUUCUUCUAGCCCACUAACCCACAUCUGCUUGAUGCACUCCUGUGAAAGGUAUCCUGUCUUCAUUUGGAGCCUGUGAAUUGAAGUGCAUAGCCUUUUUUGUUAAUUCAUUGCAGUAGCUCAUUAAAAAAAUAAUAACCUUAUAUCUAAUUUAAAUGUGUAUGAUAUUAGCAUUCAGCCUGUGCUACAUGCUGUGAUAUUCUCUGCUAUAUUAAAAAAAAAUCACAUCCUGAGAUCCUGUGGGAUUUUGUAGGGAAGAUUUCUUAUGCACUACAGUUACUUUCAAGCUUGUUUUUGAAGAAGUCAAGAUUCAUAAUUCUUUCUCUCAAAGGAUUUUCUUUUAGCUCUUCUCAGGGAGUCAUGGAAGAGCAGAGCACCAACAUAAAGAUGUCUCAGUAGCAGGUCUGGAUAGAGAAACAUCUUUUCUGGGAGCUGUGAGUGCCACAUUAGGGGGCCAGAUGCCCAGUGUAAAAUCAAUAGCAGGCAUUUUACAAGCAGAAAGUAUCCAGGAGGACUCAGUAUGGUGGGAGCUGACCAUCUCAUGAUGCACAGAACUUUUCACCAUGCUGCCGUGUGGGAAAGUGGUCCCUCUGCUUGGCUGAGAGAGGCUGGGGUCAGGCACACAACUUCUCUUUGCUUUUCUAAGGACAUACCAAGAACUUGUGGUAGAUAGAAGUGGGAACAAAGUCCUAUCUGAUUCAGUGCUUCAUCCGCACAAACAUAGUUUAUCAAUAUAGAUAGCCUUAGAUGAAAGAUACAUCAAAGCAUAUUUUUGGCUGCUGCUUUCAGAAGUAGUACUAAAUCUCCUGGGGGAAUGCAAGCAGUGAGAUAUGAUCCAAGUAUCAAAAUCCCCAUCUCCUUAUUCUCUGUCCUCCUCUCUCACAUGGGUGGGGGUCACAGGAAAGCCCUUCCUUGAGGUUAUGUCAUCUGUUCCCAUCAGUAGAUUUUGGUUACUAAAUGCAUUUUUGCUCUUUUCCAACAAAAAACAGUGCCUGUUUCAACUAACUCUGAAUAUUUGUAAAUUGGCAAAGGAUACAACAAGAAUAAUGAACCAGCAGUUACUGUUUACAUUGGCCACCUCGUAUAAAGGCUGAUAUUAGCAUUUCUGAAAGGAUUCAUUCAUCACUGAAAAAAGUUUGUACCUGUGAAUAAGAGCUUGCCUGGGAGGGCCCAUGUGCUUCCUCUCCUCUUUUGACAAACCCUACAAAAAUGAAGAGAUAGUUUUGCAAUGGAUAUCAAUGCAUACCUAUUAUUUCAGGAUGACAAUAAGACAUUGAAUAUAUUCCAUGCAGCAGUAAAUGAAUGAAAGUAGCAGUAAAUUUAAAGAAAAAUAGAAAAACAGUAUUUAUUUUCAUGUGUCAGGUUUAUUUAUUUAUUUAUUUAUUUAGUGACCUGAAUAUAUAUAUUUUUUAAGUCUCUCUCUUGGGUUUUUUAAACUAAAAUUCUGUGGUACAGGCUCAAGCCCAGUGGUUAGAUCUUGUGUCAUGGAAAAUCAGAUAGACCUGCACUAGAAAGAACAAUGGCUGCUGAAACCAUCCUGCCAGGUCCAGACUAUGACCUCUUCUGGGGUUGUCAGUGAAAUAAACACUUUUAGAAGUA